GAUAAACAAAGACCAGUAAAGAAGAAACAAGAAUAGAAUUUGAACUGCAAAAUGAUGUCGCAUUCUCAGAUUACAUAUGUUCAAAGCAGGACAGAGCCUAAAGGUGACACCAAAACACUCCAAAAGAUCUAUGCCACCACGAAUAAGGUGUUGAAAUCGAGCAAACAUUCAUCAGAUACGUAUUUGACAAUAAAAGAAAUCUGCGACUCUAAGCAUUAACAGGAAACUAAGAAGCAAUCACUAAGCUUAAUUUAUGGGACGAUUUUCUUUUAAACAUGUCAUUGCUCCUUUGAGUGCGAAACCACAUAACUAAAUGGCUCCGCGAGGACAGCAUUACACCUGGAGAUUCCAGUUUAAUCUCAUCUCAAAUGAAAAUUUUCCACAAAACUUCAGAGAAUCAGAAAAGCUACCAAGUUUUACCCAUCUAGUUAAGGAAAAUCGGUGUUUGAAAACUGAAAUGAUCACAAUCUUAUCCAAGGUGAAAACGGAUCACUGGAAAUCAGAGUUAACCUUAAAACCAUUUGGAAAUCAACCCUUAAACAUUUACACACAGAAAAGAAAUCGAUUAUAGCCAUGCAUUGAAAGAAAAGGCAGACGAACACAUGAUUACACGUUUCGAUGGAUUCCGAAACUAGAAGACCAUAUGGACAUUAAUAAGCACACAUAGGAAGUCACAGAAAAGGCUAAAUAUCUCAGUUACUACUUCAAACUUCAGUCCAUUUGUAGCUUGUUCAGAGAUCGAUUUACAAUAGGAACUAAAGCAAAGAGGAGAAAAACCUGGAAUUAAGAGAGUGAACUAGCACCACACAAAUAUCGACCAAGAAAAGGUAAACAGCAGCAGAAAACCAACUUUCAAGAAACAACAACCUCAAACUUCUCGAAUGCCUUCCAUUUUUAAACCAUCAUCCAGAAUCAAAAUGAAGCAGCGACUAUUAUUUCGAGACGCUACAUAAACUGAUACCCAUUGAAAUUAUGAAACAUCCAUAGUAUAUGUAUAUAUCUUCUGUUAUGAUACGUGAAAAAGAAAAGAAAAAAAAAUCUGAAAGAAGAAAAAAACUUUUGAACACUGAUAAACACCAAGAACUCUAAAUUGUUUUUCAAACUUCCAAAAAAAUCUCUCUAGAAAAUCAGUCCCCUCCCUGAUUGUUGUGUUAUUCCAUUCUCAGAAAUCAAAGAACCAAUAAAACUGAAUAAGAAAAGAAAAUAUCUCUCAAAAUCAUUUCCGAAAAUCUCUCAGACCCCUCCCCAAAUCGGAUCAAGCCUCUUUUGGAGACCAAUCCUUGAUGAAUGCGGGGUUCAGAUUGAGUAAAAUAAAUCCAGCGCCUCACACUCAUCCAACAUUUCAUAUGCAGAAGCUUCCAACCACGAGAUAGGUCUCAAAACGAGCGAGUGAGAGGAGAGGGAAUCUUCGGUGUCAGAAAUCGUUAGCAACGGUAAGGUGAAAGAAGUAGGGACACGUGGGUUAGGGAUUUGAGAUUCAUUCGCUCAAAUUUGGACUGUAUUAGGGUUGGAUUCGCGUGUUCUUUGGAGAGGAAGAACAAUGCCCGUUAGAUUUAAGGUUUGUGUGUUUUUGGGGCCUGUUCGCGUGAGUGUUAGAGACAGGGUAGGGUUGAGCCGGCGGGUUGGGAGG
rnacentral:lncRNA from 1 species